rnacentral:rRNA from 1 species
GUGUCAGCCGCCGCGGUAAGACGAACCGUGCGAACGUUGUUCGGAUUCACUGGGCUUAAAGGGCGCGUAGGCGGGCCAUCAAGUCUGGGGUGAAAUCUUUCGGCUCAACCGGAAAAGUGCCCCCGAUACUGAUGGUCUUGAGGGAGGUAGGGGCGUGUGGAACUUCCGGUGGAGCGGUGAAAUGCGUAGAUAUCGGAAGGAACGCCGGUGGCGAAAGCGACGCGCUGGACCUCUUCUGACGCUGAGGCGCGAAAGCUAGGGGAGCAAACGGGAUUAGAUACCCCGGUAGUCCUAGCCCUAAACGAUGGGUACUAGGUAGUGGACCAGGCAUGGGUUCCCUGCCGAAGCGAAAGUGUUAAGUACCCCGCCUGGGGAGUAUGGUCGCAAGGCUGAA